UACGAAGGGGGCUAGCGUUGUUCGGAAUUACUGGGCGUAAAGGGCGCGUAGGCGGUGCCUCAAGUCAGGCGUGAAAGCCCCGGGCUCAACCUGGGAACCGCGCUUGAGACUGGAGUACUAGAGUUCGGGAGAGGAUGGUGGAAUUCCCAGUGUAGAGGUGAAAUUCGUAGAUAUUGGGAGGAACACCAGUGGCGAAGGCGGCUCGCUGGACCGGUUCUGACGCUGAUGCGCGAAAGCGUGGGGAGCAAACGGG
rnacentral:rRNA from 1 species